AGACAAUGUCAUCGGUCUUGUACUAGGACCUGUUCUUGGCUAUGCACCAAAUCGCAGCUGUUGAUCUACUUCAAAUCUAUUAGUGAAAAG